rnacentral:rRNA from 1 species
UACGGGGGGAGCAAGCGUUGUUCGGAUUUACUGGGCGUAAAGGGCGCGUAGGCGGCGUAACAAGUCACUUGUGAAAUCUCCGGGCUUAACCCGGAGCGGCCAAGUGAUACUGUUGUGCUAGAGUGCGGAAGGGGCUACUGGAAUUCUCGGUGUAGCGGUGAAAUGCGUAGAUAUCUGGAGGAACACCGGUGGCGAAGGCGGCAUCCUGGACCGGUAUUGACACUGAGGCGCGAAAGCCAGGGGAGCAAACGGG